rnacentral:rRNA from 1 species
UAGCGGGGUAGUAGGACUGCGACAUUGAUGAAAUAAAUGAAAUGGAACACCUUGGAAAAUGUGAUCAUAGAGGGUGAUAAUCCCGUACAUGCAAGUUUAUGAAUCAUAGCAGUAUCCUGAGUAAGUCGGGACACGUGUAAUCCUGACCGAAUCCGCCGGGACCAUCCGGCAAGGCUAAAUACUCCUGAGAGACCGAUAGUGAACCAGUACCGUGAGGGAAAGGUGAAAAGCACUUCGAACAGAAGAGUGAAAUAGUUCCUGAACCCAUACGCCUACAAGCUGUCGGAGCCGCUUCGUGCGGUGACGGCGUGCCUUUUGCAUAAUGAGCCUACGAGUUACUCAUCACCAGCGAGGUUAAGUACUUCAGGUACGUAAGCCGAAGCGAAAGCGAGUCUGAAUAGGGCGUCAAGUUGGUGGUGGUAGACGCGAAACCUUAGUGAUCUACCCAUGGGCAGGGUGAAGGUUUGGUAACACAAACUGGAGGCCCGAACCGGUAAACGUUGAAAAGUUUUCGGAUGACCUGUGGGUAGGGGUGAAAGGCCAAUCAAACUGGGAAAUAGCUCGUACUCCCCGAAAUGCAUUUAGGUGCAGCCUCUGUUGUUUUGUUCUAGAGGUAGAGCUACUGAUUGGAUGCGAGGGCUUCACCGCCUAUCAAAUCCGGCCAAACUCCGAAUGCUAGAACAUGAAGACAGGGAGUGAGCCAGCGGGUGCUAAGGUCCGUUGACGAAAGAGGGAGAACUCAGACCAUCAGCUAAGGUCCCCAAUUAUAUGCUAAGUUGGAAUAAAAACGGGGUGGGACUGCUUAGACAGCUAGGAUGUUGGCUUGGAAGCAGCCAUUCAUUUAAAGAGUGCGUAACAGCUCACUAGUCGAGCGGUCCUGCAUGGAUAAUACGCGGGCAUAAGCAUAUAACCGAAGCUAUGGGAUUGUAGAUGAUACAAUCGGUAGGAGAGCAUUCCAUUCAGCAUAGAAGCAGUAUCGUGAGGUAUUGUGGAGCGGAUGGAAAAGCAAAUGUAGGCAUAAGUAACGAUAAUGCGGGUGAGAACCCCGCACGCCGAAAGAUCAAGGAUUCCCCGGCAAUGUCAAUCAUCCGGGGGUAAGUCGGAUCCUAAGGGUAAGCCGAGUGGCGAUCCCGAUGGUAAACAGGUUAAUAUUCCUGUACUGAUCAUAACUGCGAUGCAGCGACGCAGAGGUGACACUGCUGCGUACUGACGGAAUAGUACGUUGAAACCCGUAUUCUUUGAUACCGGUAGUGAAGCACGCCGGUAGAGAUGAAAGGUGAUAGUACCGCAAUGCUUCGGUUGCGCGGAUAAUGCAGGUAAGCUGACUGCCAAGAAAACCUGCUAAGCUUCAGGUAAUGAUCAUCCGUACUGUAAACGGACACACGUGAUCAGGUAGAAAAUACUAAGGCGCUCGAGAGAUUCAUGGUUAAGGAACUAGGCAAAAUGGUCCUGUAACUUCGGGAUAAAGGACGCUCUUGUGAAAGAGCCGCAGAUAAUAGGCCCAGGCGACUGUUUACCAAAAACACAUGGCUAUGCUAAUUCGCAAGAAGAUGUAUAUGGCCUGACACCUGCCCGGUGCCGGAAGGUUAAGAGGAGAGCUCAGAGGUAACUCGAAGGUUUGAAUUGAAGCCCCGGUAAACGGCGGCCGUAACUAUAACGGUCCUAAGGUAGCGAAAUUCCUUGUCGGGU